UUGAACGCUGGCGGCAUGCUUUACCCAUGCCAGUCGCACGGCAGCGGGGAGGAGCUUGCUUCUCUGCCGGCGAGUGGCGAACGGGUGAGUAAUACAUCGGAACGUGUCGAGAAGAGGGGGAUAACCACCCGAAAGGGUGGCUAAUACCGCAUAAAUUCUGAGGAAGAAAGCUGGGGACCUAGGAAUAGGCCUAGCGCUUUUUGAGCGGCCGAUGUCGGAUUAGCUAGUUGGUGAGGUAAAGGCUCACCAAGGCGAAGAUCUGUAGCGGGUCUGAGAGGAUGAUCCGCCACACUGGGACUGAGACACGGCCCAGACUCCUACGGGAGGCAGCAGUGGGGAAUUUUGGACAAUGGGGGCAACCCUGAUCCAGCCAUGCCGCGUGUAUGAAGAAGGCCUUAGGGUUGUAAAGUACUUUUGUUAGGGAAGAAAAGUCAGCUGUGAAUAAUGGCUGAUACUGACGGUACCUAAAGAAUAAGCACCGGCUAACUACGUG
rnacentral:rRNA from 1 species